UGUUAAAAAAUUCAUCCAUUUGUAUUGUUAAAAACUAACUUGGCUGACGAAAUAACAAAAUGACAAGUUGUGUACCAUAUGUACCUCACGUUGAUGUACAAGACUCAAUUUUUAACCGUACAAAUGAAUGAAAUUUUUAACA
rfam:Gossypium raimondii Chr04_contig_1412, whole genome shotgun sequence.